rnacentral:rRNA from 1 species
GUCUAUGGCCAUGCCACCCUGUCAAGCCCAAUCCCAUCUGAUCUCUGAAGCUAAGCAGGGUCAGGCGUGGUUAGUACUUGGAUGGGAGACCACCUAGGAAGACCAGGUGCUAUCGCUG